rnacentral:rRNA from 1 species
CCCUUAGAUGUUCUGGGCCGCACACGCGCUACACUGACAGAGCCAACGAGUUCAUUUCCUUGGCCGGAAGGUCUGGGUAAUCUUGUUAAACUCUGUCGUGCUGGGGAUAGAGCAUUGCAAUUAUUGCUCUUCAACGAGGAAUGCCUAGUAAGCGCGUGUCAUCAGCACGCGUUGAUUACGUCCCUGCCCUUUGUACACACCGCCCGUCGCUGCCCGGAACUGAGCCGUUUCGAGAAGACUGAGGAUUGCUGACUUGAGGCCUUCACGGGCUUCUAGUCGGUGAAAAUCAAUUUAAUCGCAGCGGCUUGAACCGGGCAAAAGUCGUAACA